UGCAUCAGGCUGGCAGAUUCCCACUUCUGU
rnacentral:piRNA from 1 species